rnacentral:rRNA from 1 species
GACGAACGCUGGCGGCGUGCUUAACACAUGCAAGUCGAACGGAAAGGCCCUGCUUUUGUGGGGUGCUCGAGUGGCGAACGGGUGAGUAACACGUGAGUAACCUGCCCUUGACUUUGGGAUAACUUCAGGAAACUGGGGCUAAUACCGGAUAGGAUCUCCUGCUGCAUGGUGGGGGUUGGAAAGUUUCGGCGGUUGGGGAUGGACUCGCGGCUUAUCAGCUUGUUGGUGGGGUAGUGGCUUACCAAGGCUUUGACGGGUAGCCGGCCUGAGAGGGUGACCGGCCACAUUGGGACUGAGAUACGGCCCAGACUCCUACGGGAGGCAGCAGUGGGGAAUAUUGCACAAUGGGCGGAAGCCUGAUGCAGCAACGCCGCGUGCGGGAUGACGGCCUUCGGGUUGUAAACCGCUUUCGCCUGUGACGAAGCGUGAGUGACGGUAAUGGGUAAAGAAGCACCGGCUAAAUACGUG